rnacentral:rRNA from 1 species
UACAGAGGUCCCAAGCGUUGUUCGGAUUCACUGGGCGUAAAGGGUGCGUAGGCGGUCGAGUAAGUCUGACGUGAAAUCUCCGGGCCUAACCCGGAAACUGCGUUGGAAACUACUUGGCUAGAGGAAUGGAGGGGAGACUGGAAUACUUGGUGUAGCAGUGAAAUGCGUAGAUAUCGGGAGGAACACCUGUGGCGAAAGCGGCUCACUGGACCACAACUGACGCUGAUGCGCGAAAGCUAGGGGAGCAAACAGG